GAAGGUCGAAAGAUUGUAAAGUUCUUUUAUAAAUGAGGAAUAAGCUUUGUAGGAAAUGACAAGGUGAUGACGUUAAUUUAUGAAUAAGCCCCGGCUAAUUACGUGCCAGCAGCCGCGGUAAUACGUAAGGGGCGAGCGUUGUUCGGGAUUAUUGGGCGUAAAGGGUGAGUAGGCGGAUAUGCAAGUCUAUGCGUAAAAUACCACAGCUCAACUGUGGAGCUAUGCUAGAAACUGCAUGACUAGAGUCUGAUAGGGGAAGUUAGAAUUCCUGGUGUAAGGGUGGAAUCUGUUGAUAUCAGGAAGAAUACCAGAGGCGAAGGCGAACUUCUAGGUCAAGACUGACGCUGAGUCACGAAAGCGUAGGGAGCAAACAGGAUUAGAUACCCUGGUAGUCUACGCUGUAAACGAUGCACACUUGGUGUUAAUUGAGAGAUUAGUACCGAAGCUAACGUGUUAAGUGUGCCGCCUGGGGAGUAUGCUCGCAAGAGUGAAACUCAAAGGA
rnacentral:rRNA from 1 species